UACGUAGGGGGCAAGCGUUGUCCGGAAUCAUUGGGCGUAAAGAGCGUGUAGGCGGCUUGGCAAGUCUGGUGUGAAAUCUUGCGGCUCAACCGCAAGCGGUCACUGGAAACUGCCUCGCUAGAGUCCGGAAGAGGAGAGCGGAAUUCCUGGUGUAGCGGUGAAAUGCGCAGAUAUCAGGAGGAACACCGGUGGCGAAGGCGGUUCUCUGGGAAUGACCUGACGCUGAGGAGCGAAAGUGUGGGGAGCGAACAGG
rnacentral:rRNA from 1 species